UACGAGGGGAGGCUAGCGUUGCUCGGAAUCACUGGGCGUAAAGCGGGUGUAGGUGGCUCUGUAAGUCAGGAGUGAAAGCCCCAGGCUUAACCUGGGAAGUGCUUUUGAUACUGCAGAGCUUGAAUGUGGGAGAGGAUGGUGGAAUUCCUGGUGUAGUGGUGAAAUACGUAGAUAUCAGGAGGAACUCCGGUGGCGAAGGCG
rnacentral:rRNA from 1 species